rnacentral:rRNA from 1 species
GACGAACGCUGGCGGCGUGCUUAACACAUGCAAGUCGAACGGUGAAGCGCCUUCCUUUUUGGUGGGUGUGGAUGAGUGGCGAACGGGUGAGUAACACGUGAGUAACCUGCCCCCUUCUUCUGGAUAACCGCAUGAAAGUGUGGCUAAUACGGGAUAUUCUGGGUCUGUCGCAUGAUGGGUCUGGGAAAGAUAUUGUUUCGGUGGGGGAUGGGCUCGCGGCCUAUCAGCUUGUUGGUGGGGUGAUGGCCUACCAAGGCGGUGACGGGUAGCCGGCCUGAGAGGGUGGACGGUCACACUGGGACUGAGACACGGCCCAGACUCCUACGGGGGGCAGCCGGGGGGAAUAUUGCACAAUGGGCGCAAGCCUGAUGCAGCGACGCCGCGUGAGGGAUGGAGGCCUUCGGGUUGUGAACCUCUUUCGCCAGUGAAGCAGGCCUGCCUCGUUUGUGGGUGGGUUGACGGUAGCUGGAUAAGAAGCGCCGGCUAACUACGUG